CAUCGGAGCCUCACACAAGCCGACAGAGGACAAUUUCAGUGUGACAGAAGAGGACUGCCCGUCUGACCGCUAUGGACAAAAUCGGAUGCAUCAGGAAUGUCUAAGAGUUGGAUUUUGGUAACAGGGCACCUGUACAAUGGAGUGUCUGAUCACCUGCAUAGGAGGUGGGGGGCUUACAAAAUGCAAUGGAACUGCAGUUCGGUCACCUACAUAUACAGUACAGCCGGGGUGGUGACGGCCUGCCAUCUGAUGACAAUAAUAGAUCUGUAAAUCUACGACUGAGGAUGCUGCUUGUCGUUCUAUGACAGACUGAGCUGCAGGAAACAUUUGGAAUAAGAGACCCCAGCAUGGGCUUAUGGCAAGAAAAGAGCUAGAAAAUAUGAAGACGGAACUUACCGGUGGUCCAGGAGGGCCUGGAGGCCCGGCAGGCCCUGGAUUCCCAGUGUGACCCUGCAAUCAGAAAGAGGAAUACACUAUUCUUACAUUGAUAAAUAAUACAUGUUACUUGUGUUUGACUACACACAAUGGGGGACAUA